AGUUAACUGACGAGUCCCAAAUAGGACGAAAUGCGCGUUAUCCUGGAU
rnacentral:hammerhead_ribozyme from 1 species